AGUCUGCAUGGAACUAUGCAGGGAGUAAGCAAAUGUACACCAUCACAGCAGUAUAUAACUUGCAGUUACCUCUGGCCCACUCCUUUACCACACUCAUGGACUCCUGUUGUCACGGAGAUGCUGGCUUCACCAGUGCCUUCAUCGAUCGCCAAACAGGAAGAGUAAAGUGUGCCAGUCCUAGAUAUUGUUGGUGAAACGAGAGCACGGUUCUGUCAGACACUGAAGGCUGGUACAUGU